UGCAGACUAGAGUGCAUCCUCCAUCUUUCCUCUUGCCUCAGCAUAAAAAGCUGGAAAAGCUUCUUCUGUCAGCCCAUCUCUUAACUGCUUUCACUGCUGUCCAACAUCAUCGCACUGCCUUCUACUAUCUCUGAACAUCUUUUCACGUUCCCUUCACUGAAGCCCAACCAACAGGGAGUCAUGAAUAGUGAUACGCAAAAAAUCAAUGGAAAAGAUGAAGAAUGGAUUGCGAGGAUUACGUCAACCAACGGCUACCAUAACUGAAGCUCACAGUAUUUGAUAUACUAUUAGGUGUGUGAACCGCAGUGCUGAGAGAAGAAGGAGAGCUGGAUGAAGACAGU